GACGAACGCUGGCGGCGUGCCUAAUACAUGCAAGUAGAACGCUGAAGGAGGAGCUUGCUCUUCUGGAUGAGUUGCGAACGGGUGAGUAACGCGUAGGUAACCUGCCUGGUAGCGGGGGAUAACUAUUGGAAACGAUAGCUAAUACCGCAUAAGAGUAGAUGUUGCAUGACAUUUGCUUAAAAGGUGCAAUUGCAUCACUACCAGAUGGACCUGCGUUGUAUUAGCUAGUUGGUGGGGUAACGGCUCACCAAGGCGACGAUACAUAGCCGACCUGAGGGGGUGAUCGGCCACACUGGGACUGAGACACGGCCCAGACUCCUACGGGAGGCAGCAGUAGGGAAUCUUCGGCAAUGGACGGAAGUCUGACCGAGCAACGCCGCGUGAGUGAAGAAGGUUUUCGGAUCGUAAAGCUCUGUUGUAAGAGAAGAACGAGUGUGAGAGUGGAAAGUUCACACUGUGACGGUAUCUUACCAGAAAGGGACGGCUAACUACGUG
rnacentral:rRNA from 1 species